UACACAGAUUGACAUUGCAGGUAGUAC
rnacentral:sRNA from 1 species